UCAAGUUAUAAACAUUUUGGAGUUAUUUAAUGAUUUUUUUUUUUUAACAGAAAUGGCCCAUUGCUUUCAUUAUACUGUACUAGCCCGUGGGAUUCAGCUUUUCAUUAUACUGUACUAGCCCGUGGGAUUCAGCUCCCUACAAAAUGCCAGCAAUGAUUUGGAAGAUGUGCAAGAAAUGUACCUUAAAAAUAGCAAAACCAAGACUUGGAGCCAAAAUCUAUAUCUGCCUGUGAUUAUAUUCUCAUGCUGCUGUAAAAAAAAAAAAAAAAAAAAAAGAAAGAAAGAAAAAGAAAAAAAAAAUCAGACUUCGUGGCUGAAAAAAAACAAAAGCCAUCGAGGCAUGAGUCUGAAUCUGAAUUUGUGCACAGAGCUUUGCAAACUCAGGAAACGUCUCUGUCAGAGUCCUGCCUCCCUGAAUUCUGGAUAAAUGUCUGUGGCUUGAACAGUCACUGGGAUACCAAGAGCUUCUGCUGAGACAAUGCCUCUCUCUAGAGGCUCUUCAAGAGGAACAGAAAUAGUUUUGUUUGAAAUAAAAUGAUUACUUUUUUCAAGAUGGUCACUUACAUACUUCCAUUCACAUGAAUCCACAACUGAAAGACAGCAUGUAAACAUUUUAUUUCCUUUUAAAACUAAAAUGUCCAGUCUCUUGUCUUCCGGCUAAGGCGGCACAUAUCUGGGUUUGACAUCUCUGGGUUUUUACCUGUUGUUCCAGCACUGCAUCCAAUUUUGCACUUGUCCUGGAAUUUUUAAUUUUAAUUUUCUAUUGUGAAUUGUUGCAUUAAAAUAAGCAUAGAUAAGUUUGGUAUAGCUCCUUAAUUUUUUCUCAGCUUGUGCAAGGUUCUUGUAAGGUGUGGGGUGUGUGGGUAACGAACGACUUUCAUACUUUAACAUAUGGAAGAAACUGAAAUGAAUCAAGGGCUAUCCUGUCUCUUUUUUUAAUUUUUGGCCCAUCUAGACAAAUCUAAAUUAGCGUCUUACUUUAAAAGAACAUCAUCAGGGGAUGCGCAGACAAAAAAAAAAAAAAAAAAAAUUCCAUUGACAGGGUUGGGGUGGGAUAACUUGCUCUUUCCAGUUCCCUUUAAGGGUGAGCGAAGUAAGCUAGCCUGUGCCAGGGUGGCCGCUAAUGUACCUGGCAGUGGUGCCAUGCCUAUGGCAGAAACCUGCAAGAUACCCAGGCUGCAGGCUGUGGUUCUUCUGGAACAGUAUAAUGUGGUAGGAAAUUAUAGGUUAGCUCUAUGCAAAAUGCAUGCAAGGAGCAGGAUGAGCAGCCCUGUCUCAGAAACCCAGGCAGGAUAGGUUGAAUGAUAGGGUUUAGCAAUUUAUCAUGACAUGUAAAACUAAAAUAAUUCAUUCAGUUUAUUGUCUGAUAAUGCUUUUUAUUCUAUAAAAAACCAGUUUUGCAUCAUCAAACUAAAAAAUAUGAAACCCUCACGUUAAUGGAAAAAUACUGAAUUUACGCUCAUCGAGAGUAUUAAUAGACAUGUAACUGAUGGAGACUGCUGACAAAUACCACUUUACCAAAGAGGCCACCGGGUAUCACAAAUCGUAUAAGCCCUAGAAGAAAGGAUUGUGUAACAUAACAGACUUCAAAUAGUGGUUAUUUGAAAAGACUUUGCCCAAAAAUGGCAAUUUACUUCUUGCAGUUUCAGAAAGUAUACUUAUACAUCAUUUUUUGAAGCUUGACUUUUUAUUUGUAUCAAGUGAUUGUUUUCUAAUUUAAUGUUACACAAUUUUUACUCCGAAAUUUUUUGUCCAAAUAUGAAUCAUGAAAUUAUAACUCUGUUAAUUCCAUUAGUGGUAGUUGAAUUUUGCAGAGUUAAACAAUUCAAAUAUCAUGAUAGUGCCAUCACCCUCUUAUUUUGAAAAUGAGUUCAGUUCUAAGAAGAGUACAUUUUUUCGCCAUCAGUUUUUGAAAGCAAAAGAAGUAUCUUGGAAGCUUAUUUCAUUGAAGGUGAAAGAUCUUAUGCUACUGUGGAUAGUAAUGCAAAUUAAGUUUAGAAAUUCAUCAUUGUAAUAAAGAAUUUUUUUUUUUUGCAGUGAUCAUAGGACUAUAAACUUUGGUAAAAACAGACUUGCAGUUGCCAAGUGGGAGAGGGAGGGAGUGGGAUGGACUGGGAGUCUGGGAUUAAUAGAUGCAAACUAUUGCAUUUGGAGGGAUAAGCAAUGAGAUCCUGCUGAAUAGCACAGGGAACUAUAUCUGGUCACUUGUGAUGGAACAUGAUGGAGGAUAAUGUGAGAAAAAGAACGUGUGUGUGUGUAUGUAUGACUGGGUUACUUUGCUGUACAGUAGAAAUUGACAGAACACUGUAAAUCAACUGUAAUGGAAAAAAUAAAAAUAAAAAACACCCUAAAUUUUGGAAAAACAUAGUCAUGGUAAAAAUAAUAUUUUUGAGUUCCCAUUGUGGCUCAGCAAUAAUGAACCUGACUAAUGUCCAUGAGGACGCGGGUUUGAUCCCUGGCCUUGCUCAGCGGGUUAAAGAUUUGGCG
rnacentral:lncRNA from 9 species